AGGUCUUUCAAGGCAUUCCAAGCAUAAGGAAGAGCAUGAAUGAGGCCUAGAAGGAUGCCAGUGCCCGACGUGACGUGGGAGCCCUUUUCCCAGAGUUACAUGCUGGGCCCAUGAUGGGUGUGGGCCUGCAUGGGACAGGAGAGCUUGUUGCAGAGAUGUGAUGCUAGGCUGAGGUGUCUUAUCCCGUGCAGUCUUUCCUGUCUGUCUUCCGCUCACUGGCGAUGCUGGAGAAGACGGUGGAAAAAUGCUGCAUCUCCCUGAACGGCCGGAGCAGCCGCCUGGUGGUCCAGCUGCAUUGCAAGUUCGGUGAGUGGGCAGCCGGCCAGCCAAGGGGUGCCUCAGCAGGGAGGUCGGCGAGGCCCACUGAGACCCUAUCGCCUAUCCAGGGGUGCGGAAGACUCACAACCUGUCCUUCCAGGACUGUGAGUCCCUGCAGGCCGUCUUCGACCCAGCCUCGUGCCCCCACAUGCUCCGCGCCCCAGCACGGGUUCUGGGGGAGGCUGUUCUGCCCUUCUCUCCUGCACUGGCUGAAGUGACGCUGGGCAUUGGCCGUGGCCGCAGGGUCAUCCUGCGCAGCUACCACGAGGAGGAGGCAGACAGCACUGCCAAAGCCAUGGUGACUGAGAUGUGCCUUGGAGAGGAGGAUUUCCAGCAGCUGCAGGCCCAGGAAGGGGUGGCCAUCACUUUCUGCCUCAAGGAAUUCCGGGGGCUCCUGAGCUUUGCAGAGUCGGCAAACUUGAAUCUUAGCAUUCAUUUUGAUGCUCCAGGCCCGCCAUCUUCACCAUCAAGGACUCUUUGCUGGACGGCCACUUUGUCUUGGCCACACUCUCAGACACCGACUCGCACUCCCAGGACCUGGGCUCCCCAGAGCGUCACCAGCCAGUGCCUCAGCUCCAGGCUCACAGCACACCCCACCCAGACGACUUUGCCAAUGACGACAUUGACUCUUACAUGAUCGCCAUGGAAACCACUAUAGGCAAUGAGGGCUCGCGGGUGCUGCCCUCCAUUUCCCUUUCACCUGGCCCCCAGCCCCCCAAGAGCCCCGGCCCCCACUCCGAGGAGGAAGAUGAGGCUGAGCCCAGUACAGUGCCUGGGACUCCCCCACCCAAGAAGGUAG
rnacentral:sRNA from 1 species